AGGAGCUUAACGAGAAAUUACAGUGUAGGAGCCAUGGAGGCUGAAAAGCAAGAGCAGGCCGGAAAAUGUGUUUUCAAAAUUCAAACAAGAAGUAAAAGACAAAAAUGUUGAAAAUGUGAUAGCUGGCAAGAAAGGCGACCAUUUAGUGAAAGAUCUGAAGCGGCAAUUAAAAAUGGAACGAAAGAAAACAGAACAACUGUACAGCAAAGAUUGCAAGAAGCUUGCAAGGGAAAGUAAGUGUCUCGACAAUAUGUAUGCAUGUGUACGCAUGGAAAAGUUUAAACUUUAUAAAAACAGGUACGCGGAGCGUACAUGUUGCAAGCGCUGUGACUGAUGAGUUCAUUGGCGAAGUAAAUUUAAAAAUAAACAUUGUCUAAGCCGAGAAAAUCAAAGCUGAAGUUUUCGUAAAUCAGGAGAAAUCUUUAUCCGAUUUACAAACAUUGAUUAAACAUUCAUUUCUUUUGUAUUUUCCUCAUGAAUUAUUAAUGAUUUUUUAAUAGAGUUUAAUUUAAUAUAUAUCCAGCAAGCCUUUUGCGCUUGGUGAACAACCUUGAUUGAAAUAGCUGUAUAUGGCAAAAUGCUUAUAACAUGUUCAAAUUAAUCUGUUAUUUCAACUAUAUUUUAUUUAAAAAGUUCAAGUUAAUAACAUGGUAAAUGGCAAUUAAUGCCUUGAAUGAUGGAUAAAAUCAUGCCAGACGAUAGGUUGGUCAUGUGUACAGGAUCAAUAUCACUUCAGGUUGGCUUAAUUUUCUUGAUGGUCAUGCAAAAAUAGACGCUUGUAACUGUGCAUUGCAGAGGGUGGGAAAGGGUAUUUUCGUGAGCCGUGAAUGGUCAAUAUUUGUUCGCGUGAAAUGCUUGAUUUUAGUGUCGUGAAAUGUGAUUUGUUCUAAAGCCGUGAGGCGUGGUUGUUGAUAAAAAUGCUCCGUGAAAUGAGAAUUAAGGAUGCCUGUUUCGUGAACUGUGAUUAUUUUAAUAUAAAACAUGAUACGCGAUAAUCAAAUUUAUAUGAUCUCACUCGAUUGCACGUACAAGAGUAAAAACUUCGGAGGCCUUUCGCGAGGUUCCUGACGCUGAGGACAAGGUUCCUGACGCUGAGGACAAGGUUCCUGGCGGUGAGGACAAGUUCCUGGCGGUGAGGACAAGGUUCCUGGCGGUGAGGACAAGGUUCCUGGCGGUGAGGACAAGGUUCCUGGCGGUGAGGACCUGGCGGUGGUUCCUGGCGGUGAGGACGAGGUCCCUGGCGGUGAGGACGAGGUUCCUGGCGGUGAGGACAAGGUUCCUGGUGGUGAGGACAAGGUUCCUGGCGGUGAGGACAAGGUUACAGGCGGUGAGGACAAGGUUCCUGGCAGUGAGGACAAGGUUCCUGGCGGUGAGGACAAGGUUACUUGCGGUGNNNNNNNNNNNNNNNNNNNNNNNNNNNNNNNNNNNNNNNNNNNNNNNNNNNNNNNNNNNNNNNNNNNNNNNNNNNNNNNNNNNNNNNNNNNNNNNNNNNNNNNNNNNNNNNNNNNCACCAGUAGCGGUUUCGAUACGAUAUCGUCCAUUUUUAGCCACUUAUGCCAGUUUUCAUAAGUGGCCAAAAAAUAGCAAAAAAGUAAGGCUAUAGCCUUAACAUUUCGUCCAUUUUUAGCCACUUAUGUCAGGACAAGGUUCCUGGCGGUGAGGACAAGGUUCCUGGCGGUGAGGACAAGGUUCCUGGCGGUGAGGACAAGGUUCCUGGCGGAGGACAAGGUUCCUGACGGUGAGGACAAGGUUCCUGACGGUGAGGACAAGGUUCCUGACGGUGAGGACAAGGUUCCUGGCGGUGAGGACAAUGUUCCUUGCGGUGAGGACAAGGUUCCUGGCUGUGAGGACAAGGUUCCUGGCGGUGAGGACAAGGUUCCUGGCGGUGAGGACAAGGUUCCUGGCGGUGAGGACAAGGUUCCUGGCGGUGAGGACAAGGUUCCUGGCGGUGAGGACAAGGUUCCUGGCGGUGAGGACAAGGUUCCUGGCGGUGAGGACAAGGUUCCUGGCGGUGAGGACAAGGUUCCUGGCGGUGAGGACAAGGUUCCUGGCGCUGAGGACAAGGUUCCUGGCGCUGAGGACAAGGUUCCUAACGCUGAGGACAAGAUCCCUGGUGCUGAGGACAAGAUCCCUGGUGCUGAGGACACGCGCGGAGGUCGUCGUACAUUCUCGUCACUCAAACUUGUAAGCUAUGAUGUAGUUAAUAACUGACAGUUCAUGGAGAAAUGAGAGAACUUAAAGCGUAGAUACUGUACCAUGCAUUAAACAUAGUCUUAAUAAACAUAUUAUUAUAUUAUUUUAUGAGAAUCUAGUUUUCUGUGAAAUUGCUUUUUAAGAAACGUGAAUCGUGAAACGGCUUUUUUUUCGUUGUGAAACGUGAUCCAUACCCCCCCCCUUUCCGACCCUCAUUGCACUGUAGAUCAGUCGAAACACGACCCGAAUUACCAAGCUGAAAUGUCAUUGAACUUCUACUUGUGACCAGGCGCUUUUUGCCUCAUUUGGCUUUAUCUAUCAUUUGACCAUGCAUUUUCAUUCUGAUAUAUUCGCUUGUGAUUUUUGAGUUUGCAUGUUUUUGAAACUACAGUAGAUUUGGUAAUAUUUUACACUGGAGAAGUAUAAAAAAUGCUCCACCAUAUAACAUUUUCAAAUUAAUCUGUUUGUUUCAACUAGUUAUAUUUAACAAGUUCAAAUUAAUACCAUCAUGCAUGCAUAAUGGCAAUCCCUUGACUGAUGGAUAAAGUCACGUCAGACGACAUGUUCGCCAUAUGUAUAUAUGAUUCAUGAUCUCACUUCAGCUUGGUUUACUUGAUGGUCGUGCAAAAACAGGCACUUGUCACUGUGCAUUGCGCUUAGUAGAUCAGUCGAAACACGACCCAAAUUACCAAGCUGAAAUGUCAUUGAACUUCUUCUAUACUUGUGACCAUGCAGCUUUUUGCCUCUGACUGGCUUUAUCUACCAUUUUCAUUUUGAUAUUCACUGUGAUUUUUGAGUUUACAUGUUUUUCAAACUAGAUUUGAUAAUAUUUUACACGUAUAAAAAAUGCUCCACCAUAUAACAUGUUCAAAUUAAUCUGUUGGUUUCAACUGUAUUUAUAUAUUUAAAAAGUUCAAAUUAAUACCAUGCACAAUCGCAAUGCCUAGUUGACGGAUGGAUACAAUCACGUCAGACGAUAGGUUGGCCGUAUACGUACAGGAUCGAUAUGUCACUUCAGGCUUGGCUUGAUGGUCGUGCAAAAAUAGACACUUGUCAUUACGCAUUGCGCUGUAGAUCAGUCAAAACACAAUCCGAAUUACCAAGCUGUCAAAUGUCAUUGAACUUCUACUUGUAACCAGCUUUUUGGCUCUGUGGCUUUAUCUAUCAUUUGACCAUUUUCAUUCUGACAUUCACUUGUGAGUUUUGAGUUUACAUGUUUUUCAAACUAGAUUUGAUAAUAUUUUACACUGGAGAAGUAUAAAAAAUGCUCCACCAUGUAACAUGUUCAAAUUAAUCUGUUGGUUUCAACUACAGUAUAUAUAUUUAUAUUUAAAAAGUUCAAACUAAUACGAUGUAUAAUACCUUUUCCCAACGGUAACGUUAGUGGUCCCCCUUUGUUACCCCUAGGUUUGCCUGUGGCAGGGUUUAUUUUAAGUAAAAUUUAGAACUGCACAUAUUAGGGAUGUUACAAAGCAUCGCGUAUUUGACUGAGGGGUCAAAGGGUGUUUGACUGGGGGUCAAAGGAUUUUUAUCUAUAUUUAACGUUGUAAAUUUAUAUUUAACGUUGUAAAUUAUGAUAGACUUAAUUUGUAUAUAGGUGGAAGAAUAAAGGUGCAGUUGGGUGGGGCCUGACAAACUCGAUUCUGGGUGGGGGAGUUACAGGUAGGGGGUUUCCUCCAAAUUUUGAAUCUAGAGGCUCGUAAGUUCUGGCAAAGAUUUGUUUCACCCAACCACCCACAAAACAUGCAACUGGGAAUCAAAACAUGGUUUACACUGGGUUUCAAAACAUGUAACUGGGAAUCAUGAAUACUCUGAUAUAUAAUAACCUUAGGCAGCAAAGAAUAUCAGGUUCCACCACUCUGAUCUCUUUUGAAUAGCUUCGCUCGCCCCAAUUUUACCUCUUGUUCCAUUACCCCAGCACGUAUGUGAUUUGUGAGGAAAAUAUGCGGGUCUGGUGGUCCUCUCCGAGAAAACAUUUAGAUUUUUGAUGCUCAAUGACAGCAUUUCUGCUAUCUGGAGCAUCCACAAGGAAAACGAGUAAAUGAGAAAACUGUUUUGAGGUUAUAUUUUUCUUAAGUUGCUGACUGCACAUUUGAGUUUUAAGAACUGCACAUUUGGGUUUAGAACUGCGCAUUUUGUGUAGAACUGCGCGUUAAAAUAAACCCUGGUCGCCCUGUGGUCCCCCCUGUGCAUUAGACCAUAAUUUUUUAAAACCGAUUGAAAUUAAUUGUUUUGACAAUUUUCAGAAAGUUUGGAGUAACUUUGAGUUUGGAGUAACUUUGUUUUGAGGCCCCUUUGCUAAGCCUACGGUACCCUGUGGUCCCCUCUUUGCAUUUGACCGCAGUUUUUUAAAACAUGUUUUUAUCGAUCGAAAGUAAUUGUUUUGAUGAAAGGAAAUGUUUUCGACAAUUUUCAGAAAGUUUCGACUAACUUUGUGGCGGUUUUUGAAUGUUUUUGAAUUUUUGAAAAAUUUCCUGUGGUCCCCAUUUGCUAAGCCUUGGGUUGCUGUUGUCCCCCUAGCUCCUUUGUAUUUGAUGAAACUUUUCCUGUUUUACUUUUAACUGAAAAGUUUUGUUUCAUUUUAGGAUAUGGACUUAUUAACAAAAGGGCAAGAGUCAAGCAGGCAAGGACAGUCAUCAGAACAUGUCCGGACAUAUGUACCUCUAUAUCAAC
rnacentral:lncRNA from 1 species